CAGUCGCCGCGGGAACACGAAGGGGGCUAGCGUUGCUCGGAAUGACUGGGCGUAAAGGGCGCGUAGGCGGCGAUCAAAGUCAGGCGUGAAAUUCCUGGGCUCAACCUGGGGGCUGCGUUUGAUACUUGGUUGCUUGAGUGGGGAAGAGGGUCGUGGAAUUCCCAGUAUAGAGGUGAAAUUCGUAGAUAUUGGGAAGAACACCGGUGGCGAAGGCGGCAACCUGGUCCUUGACUGACGCUGAGGCGCGAAAGCGUGGGGAGCAAACAGGAUUAGAGACCCCUGUAGUCCCUGUCUCUUAUAA
rnacentral:rRNA from 1 species